UACGGGGGGGGCAAGCGUUGUUCGGAAUUACUGGGCGUAAAGGGUCUGUAGGUGGCUCGCUAAGUCAGAUGUGAAAUCCCUCAGCUUAACUGGGGAACUGCGUCUGAGACUGGCAAGCUUGAGUGCAGGAGAGGAACGCGGAAUUCCAGGUGUAGCGGUGAAAUUCGUAGAUAUCGGGAGGAACACCAGUGGCGAAGGCGGCGAUCUGGGAAGAUACUGACGCUGAGGUGCGAAAGCGUGGGGAGCAAACAGG
rnacentral:rRNA from 1 species